rnacentral:rRNA from 1 species
AUUGAACGCUGGCGGCAUGCCUUACACAUGCAAGUCGAACGGUAACGGGCCUUCGGGUGCCGACGAGUGGCGAACGGGUGAGUAAUACAUCGGAACGUGCCCGAUCGUGGGGGAUAACGAGGCGAAAGCUUCGCUAAUACCGCAUACGAUCUACGGAUGAAAGCAGGGGACCGCAAGGCCUUGCGCGGACGGAGCGGCCGAUGGCAGAUUAGGUAGUUGGUGGGAUAAAAGCUUACCAAGCCGACGAUCUGUAGCUGGUCUGAGAGGAUGAUCAGCCACACUGGGACUGAGACACGGCCCAGACUCCUACGGGAGGCAGCAGUGGGGAAUUUUGGACAAUGGGCGCAAGCCUGAUCCAGCCAUGCCGCGUGCAGGAUGAAGGCCUUCGGGUUGUAAACUGCUUUUGUACGGAACGAAAAGCCUUCGUUUAAUUCAGGAGGGUCAUGACGGUACCGGAAGAAUAAGCACCGGCUAACUACGUG